rnacentral:rRNA from 1 species
UCCGUAGGCGGUCUUAUAAGUCAGUGGUGAAAGCCCAUCGCUCAACGAUGGAACUGCCAUUGAUACUGUAAGACUUGAAUUUUUGUGAAGUAACUAGAAUAUGUAGUGUAGCGGUGAAAUGCUUAGAUAUUACAUGGAACACCAAUGGCGAAGGCAGGUCUCUGGGCCGUCACUGACGCUGAGGAGCGAAAGCGUGGGGAGCGAACA